UCGAUACUAAUUGUUGUACCUGCUUAUUAGAAAAAUACUAAUAUAAAUACUGUGCAAAAUGUUAGCUUAUCUGAAGAAAACCUACAUAUCCCAGCCAAAAGAUCAAAAAUGAUAUUCUACCAAAUGCCAAGGAUAAUCAAAUUCAGAAUGCUGUAUCUAGUCAGAUUAGUUCAUCAAAAUCAGAUCAAACUACAAAUAUACCAUUGAUGAGCAGAGCGCCACAAGAUUCAAUUAAUAAGAGGCUCCCACUAAAUAAGUACCUUAAGCACUUUUUUGCAUUACCAUUUGGGUUAGAGCGUUUCAAUUUUUUCUGUUAUUGUGUCAUAUGUACCACGACCGUAGUGCGAACAAGUACCAACUGUCAAAUUUCAUGCACCGUUGACUAAACUUCGUUUUGUUUAUAAUUUCAUUAUUAUUAUUUUUUUUGUAUUGUAUAUU